GGGGGUGAAACGGUUUCGACGUUGAGUGUUGACGCGUUGGAAGCGAGCCGAGGUCUCCGGGGCCUCGUUAAUAAACCGGAAAAACCAAUAAGUGCCGAAGAUAAUUUCGCACUGGCUGCUUAAUUAAGUAGCUCGUCCGCCCGGUUGGUUCCCACCUGAUCGGGGUCGGGCGUCGCAAUGUGGGAUGCGAUUCGCAGGUUCCAGGACUGUGGUUCAAAGAUCAAUUCUGGAUAGGCGCGGGAGAACUUGUUGUCAGAGUUCCUGUUGCCGAAAGCUCGCUGACAACUGCGCUCGGAGAUGCCAACGCAGAUGGCUCAGCGGACCGGGGUUCGACUCCCCGCACCUCCACAA
rnacentral:tmRNA from 1 species